GCAGCUUUGCAAUAAUGAAUUUUUCGGCGAAGUGAGGAGGACAAGACAGUGGAAUAAUAUGAUGAACUUCCUCAAGUAUGUUUGGGCUUAAGGCAUCAAACAUCUUCACUGAAAACGAGUCUUCAAAUACAAUUGCCCUACAAUGGUGGACCAAUUAUCCAUGUAAAAAAUUGUGGGAUUUGAAAGCUUUAUUAGAAGAUGGAAUAGUCUUAAAGAGAGAGCUGUAAAGUAAAAGCAGAGCAGCAGAUGUAAUCUGCUUUUGAUCUUCCUCUUAAAAAAGGAAGAGCCAGUGAAAAUUCUACCGAUGCAAUAUGUGGGCCUUCCAUUUUGAAGGGUCACUGUCUUUCUAGGGUGUCUCUCUCACUGUGAUCUAAAGAACCAUUUGUGAACGCACCCAAAAGAAAAUUGAGAAAAUUGUGGUCACCCUUUUGCUUUUCUUGGUAAUAGCAAUGCCCAUUUCUAUUGCCAUUGCCAAUGCAUGCCAUUGGGACUACACAAUAUGAGUUUUGGUGAAGGGCAUCUUUGACAAACUUUUCAUUUCUCUUGUUUUCAAGUCUUGAGCAUCAUGUGUAUCUUUAUAUAUAUAUAUUUUUAAAAAUUUGUGAAUAUGUUGUUCUUUAAU